UACGUAGGGUGCAAGCGUUAAUCGGAAUUACUGGGCGUAAAGCGUGCGCAGGCGGUGAUGUAAGUCAGACGUGAAAUCCCUCAGCUUAACUGGGGAACUGCGUCUGAUACUGCGUGGCUUGAGUGCAGGAGAGGAACGCGGAAUUCCAGGUGUAGCGGUGAAAUGCGUAGAUAUCUGGAGGAACACCGGUGGCGAAGGCGGCGUUCUGGACUGUAACUGACACUGAAAAACGAAAGCCAGGGGAGCAAACAGG
rnacentral:rRNA from 1 species